AUUGAACGCUGGCGGCAGGCUUAACACAUGCAAGUCGAACGAGUGGCGGACGGGUGAGUAAUGCUUGGGAAUCUGGCUUAUGGAGGGGGAUAACUACGGGAAACUGUAGCUAAUACCGCGUACCAUAGGAUGAGCCCAAGUGGGAUUAGGUAGUUGGUGAGGUAAAGGCUCACCAAGCCGACGAUCUCUAGCUGGUCUGAGAGGAUGACCAGCAACACGUGGACUGGGACACGGCCCAGACGCCGAGUGGAGGCAGCAGGGGGGAAUAGUGCGUAAGGGGGGCAACCUGACGCAGCCAUGCCGCGUGAGUGAAGAAGGCCUUCGUGUUGUAAAGUUCUUUCGGUAGCGAGGCGUUAACUACAGAAGAAGCACCGGCUAACUCCGGGCCAGCCGCCGCGGAAUAC
rnacentral:rRNA from 1 species